rnacentral:lncRNA from 1 species
CUGGCACAGUUCACAAUUUAGAAAUAUCACUCUGUAAUAACACAUUUGUCCAAGAGUAUUUAAGAAACAAACAUUAAGAAAAUAAUAUUUUUUAAGAAAAUUAACAUUAAGAAAAUAAUGUUUUUUAUUCACUACAUUACAUUUAUUUGCAGAAACUUUAUACUUUCAACUAUGAAGCUGAACCCCAAAUAUUGCUUCCCGAUCACACAUCUUAAAAAUCGGAACUAAGCAAAGCAGCCGUCGGAGCACUAUUAAGAGCUAUGAUAUAAAAGAGUGCUACAUAAUUGCAAUUAAUUAUUAGAUAUUCAUCUACAAGGUAUAUGCUAAAUGACUACAUUUAAACGUAAAACUGACAAAACAAUAAACAUCAUCAAAUUUAAUUAUCCAUUUUCCCAUCCAAUUAUCCAAUUUCAAACAAAGUACAUUGUCUCCCAAGCGUUAAAAGUCGUUUGUGUGGGAUGUCCUUUGUGCGGUGGACUUGCUGCUCAGACUAGCGGGUCUGAGUUGACGUGCCAGACAAGGCAUGUUCUUCGACAACAGAUUCCUGAAGUUACUCUGAAACCGCUUACCCACAAAGGAGUAGAACAUGGGGCUGAUGCAACAAUACAAGAACGCUAUGUCUCUGGUCACGUACAACGCAUAGUUCAACGCCUCAACCUGAUCGCACUUCCGGUUUGCAUCGUCGGCUGUGGAGAUCUGAAUGGCCUUCAGCAGGAUCACGAUGUUAUAGGGAGUCCAGCAUACGAAGAAGGUGAACAUGAUGAUGAAUAUCAGCUUCACCGAGCGCCAUUUCUCCCUCAUGCGAGUGGACAUGAUCCGCACGGUGAUGCAGGUGUAGCAGUACAUCGCCAUGAAGAGGGGCAGCAGGAAGAAGAGGAGGAACUGCAUGCUUCCGCACGCCUUUGA